rnacentral:lncRNA from 1 species
AAAAAUACAUAUAGAAUUAAGAAUACAUUCUUCAAAGGUUAACUUACACACAAUUAAUAUAAUUUCAAAAUGCUUUGCCUUGGAGCAAAACGGAAGUCAAUAUAUAAAAAGCCAUACCGUUGAUGCUAAUAUUUUAGACUCAGUUUUGUCAUUCACCCUUUUUGAACCUCAGCAUUCUAUUCUACAUGACAGCAUUAGCUUAAAUCUACUCUGAUUCUUUUUUUCCUCUUAACCUUUUAUAAAACCAAUACAUAUACUCUCAGAAGAAGCAAUUGAAUCUACUAGAAUGUUUUGGAUUUGGAGAGCUUUGAUAAUUCAGAUGGUGCAAUAAUAUUUAAUAUUUGGAAUAAUCAGAGUUUGGAGUGAGAAACUACCUUCACAUCUCUUCAGUCCAGUCUCUUUACCCCAGAUGAAACAUCGUUUCUCAGGAAGUUCACCAGAAGCUAUCAAAAGGUUGUCUCCACACCUGGAUUUAAAGCAUUGACCCACAAGAAGUUAUUUCUCAGCCUUUCUUGCAGUUUCCAUGUACUUGGGCCCUACACAAGAUGUGGGAUGAAAGCAGUGAAAGACAUUUCCACUACUGGUCCUCUUAAAAAUUCUAAUACAAACUUCCAGUAAUGACCUUGGAGACCCUAUGUUCCAGAUUGAGAAGUUAAAAGAUAGACAAGGACUACAUAGCCUACAUCAAGUUUUGGGUAUAUUAACUUCUACCUUCCAUGUUCUGUGGAAUCUCAUGCCAAAGGCUUUUUUGAGCAAUUGGGUCUUGACUGCUGCAGCUUGAUGAUAGAUUCAACACGAUCUAAUGAAGAAUGACAGCUGGAAAUCAGAGACAGUGUGCAAUAUAGAAACCAUCUUUUUCUCAAUGUCACCAUGAAUUAUUUAUGUAACUCAAAAUAUUUUAUUUCACGUUCAAAAUAAAUAAAUCUGCUUUAAAAACAAGUUUAAUAAGCUUAUUGUAUAUUGUAGUUAUCUGACACAUUUGGGUAUUUAUUUACGUGUGUAAUUAUCAUGAAAAUCUGAGAGACGAUUUAUUUUCUAGAAAUUAAGCCCACUGCAAUGAAAUCUCCUUUUAGGUGUUCUAAUAGUUUUCCUUAUAAACAUCUUAUUACCUUGCAUUGAUAUGUUAUAUCAAAUUUUGAAAUGGGCAUCAUCUUCUAAUUUUAUUGGAGCACUAAAUACUCUAGCCACUGAAAACAAUUUAUGAGAGGAUUUCUUUUAAAAUUCUGUAAGGCUGAUGCAUCUAAUUAUCUCAGCUUCUUUCUUUUAAAAAUGUAUUUGACACAAAGAGAAAAAAUGAAUAAAAAUGUAUAUGAAA